rnacentral:rRNA from 1 species
CAAUAGCGUAUAUUAAAGCUGUUGCGGUUAAAAAGCUCGUAGUUGGAUUUCUGUCAAGGACAACUGGUCCGCCCCUCGGGUGAGCACAUAGUUUGGUCUUGGCAUCUUGUUGGAAACUGUUGCUGCACUUGGUUGUGUGGCGCAGUGUCCAGCACUUUCACUUUGAGGAAAUUGGAGUGUUUCAAGCAGGCACAUGCCUUUAGACACAGUAGCAUGGAAUAAUUAGAUUGGGCUUUUGCUCCAACUUGUCGGUUUCUGGAGCUGAGGUGAGAAUUAAUGGGGAUUGUUGGGGGCAUCCGAAUUUAGCCGUCAGAGGUGAAAUUCUUGGAUCUGCUAAAGACGGACAACUGCGAAAGCGUUUGCCCAGGAUGUUUUCAUUGA